AACCAAUGGAAUCAUUGCACUGAUGUAUUUCAAUAGUUUAUUUUUAUUUGUUUUAUUGAUUAUAACAAACUAGAGCUGGAUGAUCAAUCAGUAAUAUAUGUAUUGUGAUACACACGCAAUCAAUAUUAGAUCUCACUUGAUCUCGCUGGGAGAUGUAGGCUGAGGAAAAACUUUAGCAGUUGUUGGCUAAGCUAGGUCGUGAGAGGAAGUGGGUGAGCAUCAACUCACUCUCGCUCUUUGCUAGUCAACUGGUUGUUGCCUAGUAACAACCAGUUGCUAGUAACAACCAGUUGACUAGCUUGCGUAGCUGCAGUUUCAUAGUUCCAAAUAACUGCUUAAGCGGCAUGGCGUGACAGUUGGAUAAAACAGGAAAGGUUAAGUCACCAGUUUAACAGUAUUUCAAAUAUUUACCGAAACAAAAAAUAAAUAUUUAACAGGCAAUCAUGAAAUAUAGACUGAAACGCUUAUAUCCCUAGCUUAAAAUUUAUGGAAACUAGUAACAUUUGAAUAUUUUAUCAGACCAAUAGGCAUUUUAUUACCUAUUGUCAAAGGUAUUACGAUUUGCUUUUGGACACGCAUGGCGUUUAAAUAGUGAAGCAUUUUAAAAAGGCAUUGAAAUAAGCUUUCUCUUGGGGCCACUUUCUGCUGGGGCAGAUCCAGCACUCACUGGAGGAACAAUGUAACCCUUCUGACCUGGGACUCUUUGGGAUCUCCAUGGAUGAGCUGGAGAGCGAAACCCUGGAGAUGGAUAUCUGGGUUUCCCUCGUGCAGCUCGAUCUCAGAUACAAGCAAGUAAUUACAGACGACAGAAAAUGGCUAGAAUGGAAAAAGCUAAAGUAGAGGUUGCAGUACGCAGCCACAUCGCCUCAUGCAGGGGAAAGGAGCUUCAGGUCAGCAGAGAUUGUGCCAGAACCACAGCAGGAUUUAGAGUAUCAAAAGAAGAACAAUCCUUGUUCCUGAAAAGGCGGAGUCUCUAAAUUUUGAAACUCACUACUUCCUUGGACCUCAGCUUGUUUCCCGAGUUGCAACAGGAUGAAACGACCAGAACGGUGUUUAUGAACUUAUCUAAGUGGCAGACCAAACCAAGACUAUCAGCAUUGUGAGCAGUAAUGGUGCAAGUUGCUCGUGUCAUCUACAUUGUAAAGUUUCCAGCUGGUGUGUGACAAGAGGAUAAACAAAAAGCAUGAGUUCAUUUCCACCCAUCA